UGCUUUCUUCGUUUUCAUGGAGGACUUCAGGAAGCAGUACAAGGAAAAGCAUCCAGGCAACAAAUCUGUUGCUGCUGUUGGCAAAGCUGGUGGUGACAAGUGGAAACACUUGACUGAUGCUGAGAAGGCUCCUUACAUCGCUAAGGCUGAGAAACGAAAGGCUGAUUAUGAGAAGCUAAUGGACGCUUACAACAGAAAACAGGCUGGUGAAGCUGAGGAAGAUGAGGAAUCUGACAAGUCAAAGUCUGAGGUUGAUGAGGAAGAUGGAAGCGAUGAGGAAGAAGAGGAUGAUGACUGAAGUGCUAAUGGGAGGGAGUAAAUUGGUGGGGAAGCUGUGUAAUACCUUAGAUAUUUCUCUAUAUGAUGACUCCUUACUUUUCCCCGUUAAAUACUUGGCUCUUUUUUUUAGUUUAUUUUGGGGUUUCUUAGGUAUGGGAAAAAGAUGAAUUAGAUGAGAGCUAUCUUUAAAGCUCAGUGGCUUAUGUACUUUUUAUUCUGAUGCUGGUGUUGCUUAAUGAUAAUGCAACUUUUUAGGCAAUUUGUCUUUCUUUUUCUAUAUUUGUGUAGAGCUUAUUGUUUGUUUCUAUUAGAAC
rnacentral:misc_RNA from 1 species